GUCUUUUUGAGUUAUUUUUAAAGUCUGACCUGCCCACUGAAUUAAUUUAAAUGGCCGCAGUAUUCUAACUGUGCAAAGGUAGCAUAAUCAUUAGUCUUUUAAUUGAAGGCUGGUAUGAACGGUUGGACGAGGUAUAAGCUGUUUCAUAUAAAUUUAUAAUAGAAUUUUAUAUUUUAGUCAAAAAGCUAAAAUUUAAUUAAAAGACGAGAAGACCCUAUAAAUCUUUAUAUUUUGUGUUAUUUAAAUUUUUUAGAUUUAUUUUAUUUUUAUAGUAUAAAAUAUUUUGUUGGGGUGAUGUUAAAAUUUAAUGAACUUUUAAUUAUUUAAAAUCAUUAAUUUAUGUUUUAUUGAUCCAUUAAUAGUGAUUAUAAGAUUAAGUUACUUUAGGGAUAACAGCGUAAUUUUUUUGGAGAGUUCAUAUCGAUAAAAAAGUUUGCGACCUCGAUGUUGGAUUAAGAUAUAAUUUUAGGUGUAGCCGCUUAAAUUUUAAGUCUGUUCGACUUUUAAAUUCUU
rnacentral:rRNA from 1 species